CUACACAAUAAAUGACACUUUUUCUCUGUCACUACUCUGUACCCUGAGAAAAAAAAGGUCUGAGUGACUCCGAGCAGAAAAUGGUACCUAGCUGUAGUGGAGUGAGUAGGUGUGGUAACUGCUAUUGUUCCAGAAUGAGAUAGAAAAACUGUGGGUAAGAAAGCUUGGACUGAAUAGCUUUACAAAACUUGGAAAGACUACAACAGAAAUGUCUUCAGAUAACAUGAAGUGUAAGGUAAAUAUCCACAGCCCUCUGAAAAAGGCCCUGCAGCCCACCUCUGGGUCCUGAUCUACCUGUUGAUGGCCACACACACACUCACUGUGACUGUAAUAACUAUUCAUCUUUAAUAUGUGUAUUAUCUACUAUUACUUCAAUUACUUGGUCAUUUACUUUACCUCACUUGCUAUAAAUGUAUUUUUUUCUUUC